ACUUUCAACAGAAAGUCGGGAUUGGCCUCCUGAAUUGUUAGCGGUGCGGAGAGAUGAUAGACGCACCAUGCGUCUUUUUU
rnacentral:sRNA from 1 species